rnacentral:misc_RNA from 1 species
AACUAGUCGUUGGUUGCGUAUCACGCCUUGGAUCGUUCGGCUGUAGCCAUAUUGGCUUGGUAUGAUUGUCGUGUCAGUGAAUAGUGUCGCGACAAAAGUUAUUAAAAUAAUAAUACUAUUAUUGUUGUGUACCGGAGUGGAUAUUGUUACAGAUAAUAAUAAUUAUUAAAAUGGAAGAGACUAAAAUAAUUUAUCAUAUUGAUGAUGAGGAAACGCCUUAUUUAGUUAAACUAACAAUAUCACCGGAACGAGUGACACUAGCAGACUUUAAGAAUGUAUUGAAUCGUCCGAAUUACAAAUUUUUUUUCAAGUCUAUGGACGAUGAUUUCGGAGUUGUCAAAGAAGAAAUUGUUGACGACGAUGCACAUCUUCCCUGUUUCAAUGGACGAGUCGUUUCAUGGCUCGUAUCCGCUGAGGGAAGUAAUGUAUCUGAUGGAGCGUCACAGUGUACAGAUUCAGUGGCUCAUACUGAUGCUAAACAUGACAGGGUUGAUCAUGUACCAACAGGUCUUACGAACCGCGGACCACCGACAAUGUCACACGACGACACGCUUACUGAAACAGAAAGUAUUAUAAGUAGUCGACAGGGUCAUCAUCAUUUACAUAAAAGUUCAAAACAUCAUGCUGAUAAAUAUGAAAAGUAUUCUAAAUAUAAUGGAUUACGUAUAAAUGGACAUUCAAAACACCGUUCAGGGCACGGUUACGAAACAGCGUCAAUAUUGAGUUCUGAUCUCGAGACAUCAACAUUCAUGGAGUCUGAUGACGAUGCGAGCAGUCGUAUAACAUCAACAACUGGACGUCACACAAAUAUGAGUAGUACUAUUGAACGUGCUACAUUAGAUCGCCGUAGACCUCAAAGACGACGGCGACAUAGACUCCCGCCAAUGUCUCGUACAUCCUCAUUCAGUAGUAUUACUGACAGUACCAUGUCACUCAAUAUUAUAACGGUAUCUUUGAACAUGGACACUGUUAAUUUUCUUGGUAUUAGUAUCGUGGGGCAAAGCAAUAAAGGUGGCGACGGUGGAAUAUACGUCGGCUCUAUUAUGAAAGGAGGCGCAGUAGCUUUAGACGGCAGGAUAGAACCCGGUGAUAUGAUUCUCCAAGUAAACGACAUAAAUUUCGAAAACAUGUCUAACGACGAGGCAGUAAGAGUUUUACGUGAAGUCGUUCAAAAACCUGGGCCAAUAAAACUGGUCGUGGCAAAGUGUUGGGAUCCAAAUCCAAAGGGCUACUUCACAAUUCCACGCACAGAACCGGUUCGCCCAAUAGAUCCUGGCGCUUGGGUAGCGCACACAGCAGCAAUACGCGGUGAAGGUUUUCCACCACGUCCACCCAGCGCGACGACCUUGACUUCGACAUCUAGUAGUCUCGCUAGUACGCUGCCCGAUACUGAACGACCACUGGAAGAGUUACGCUUGAGUAUCAAUACAGAUAUGCCAACGAUAGUACGUGCAAUGGCCCGGCCGGAUUCUGGUCUCGAGAUCCGUGACCGUAUGUGGUUAAAAAUAACAAUCCCAAAUGCAUUCAUCGGUGCAGAUGUUGUUGAUUGGCUAAAUACACACGUUGAGGGGUUUAUUGAUCGUCGCGAUGCGCGUAAAUAUGCAUCGCUUAUGCUUAAAGCUGGAUUCAUCAGACACACCGUCAAUAAGAUAACAUUUUCCGAACAAUGCUAUUAUAUAUUUGGUGAUUUAUGCUCGACAAUGGGCAGCAUGAAACUCGACGGCGAUACUGUUGGACCCCUGCCACCACCCAUCGGUUGGGAGCUUGGAACGUAUUCAGGACCUUAUGCACCCCAUUCCGCUGCUGGAUACAGUCCAAUGCCCUUUAAUUUCACCAAUGAACCUACUAUAUAUGGUUAUCAUCGUGAAGAAAGUAUCCACAGUGAGUCAGGCGGAAGUAGCGCGGGUAGUGAGCAUAUUUGCAAAGAGCCAAUUCAUGACUUAAAAUCGUGUUCAUCAGCAUCUGAGUCUGAACUCCACGUACCACCAACAGUGCCGAACAAAAAUUCCGGCAACGGCAACGGAUCUAAUGGGAAACGAUCCAACGGCAGCCGCAGCAGAUCAAGCGGUUCUGAGCAAUCGGUACAAACAGGCACUGGCUCGUCGAAUCAGCAGAAUCAGCAAGAUUUAUCUGGAUUGUCUACGACAAUGGGGCACCUAUUUCUUUAAAAAAAUAAUUAUAAACAACCGGACAAUUAUUUCAACUUACGAACGUAUGAAUUGUCGUCUGCUACUGCAAAAAGAAAACAAUCUUUAUUUAUUUUUAUUUCUUUUUUAUACUACUUUGCUACAACAUUUAUAUAAAAAAGUAAAUUUAAAAAUAAAUAAAUAAUACGAGCUAUAGGUAUAAGCAUGUAAUGCUUAACUGAUAAAUCGUUAACGGGAUAACGUGCCAAAAGUGAUGUUUAUUAUCCUGCUGCUGUAUACAAGGCAUAUACAAUAACUUUCAAAUCAACUGUAAAUAUAUCAAAUGAGGACGAACAAAAAAUAACGCUCAAAAUUAAAAAAAAAAGUGCCAUCAAACUUUCAUACUGACGCGAAUAACAUUGAUAAAUUUUUCUAUGUCGCCUGAAAUUUUAAUAAAAAAAAAAAAAAUAAAAAAAAAUAAACAAAAUAAAAAAUAAACUUUUUAGAAUUGUUUAAUAUU